CAAAUCAAUUGCGCAUGUGCAAAGUCUCCGCUAGCUUGUUUGCUGUUAUUUAAAAUCGAAAUUAUCAGAGUCAGAAAACUUUACUAAUCCCCGAAGGCGAUUUGAGUCAUCAUAGCAGCAACUUGUUCAAUGUGGUAUUUUUAAAGGGCUAACUUGUGGUGUCCCUGUUGCUGUGGCGGUGGGAGCAUCUGUUCACCCUGCAGGGAAGUCCAGGAACUCCUCGCCGAGGAGAUGUCGCUGGGGGAGGUGGACUCCAGCCCUCCUCUUUCUCCUCUUCCCCCGUCCCCUCCUCUUCUCUUUUUAUCUGCUCGUCUUCCUCCUCCUCAUUCCUCC